rnacentral:lncRNA from 1 species
UUCCAUUGUAGCCUCAAAUUUGCUGAGUUCUGCAGAAGACAUGUAAAGAACGACGUAAUUUGUUACUAUUUAAAACACUCUUUAGGGCACCGAACAUGUGCUGAUCAUUUCUACAGAUGAUGGUGGGGUUUUGGGAAGAGUACACCAUACUCUGUUUUGAAGAUGCACUUCUAAGCAAUUCAUGCAUAGUUAUUUUGUUUAUGCUUGAAAAAUCUCUUUUUCUUUAAAAAUCUAAAAGAUAAUCACUGGAUUUGUAAAAACGUGUUUAAAUUCCAGUCCAUCUGAUCUUCCUAUAUAUGUCAUAGCCCCUCACAGAAAUGGUUCCACAUUUGGAAAGGAUAUCAUUGGAAGAUAUAUAUGCUGAACAUCAAAACUGAAACCCAGCUUUGGAGCUGGAACAAAGCUGUUCUGUUGGCAACUUGUGCAGCUCAUUGUGUGACCUUUCUGAAUACUGGCAGUCACCUAUCUGUCACAUCAUCCUUCCCUAAGCCAAACCAGAAGGAUGGAAAUUCACUUGAUGGCAAUCACAAGAAAGAAAAUGUUGCAUAUGAUACUCUGUUAAACUUAAAGCUGGGAAAACAGAAGUGUAGCAGCUUGAGAAACUGA